rnacentral:rRNA from 1 species
UACGGGGGGGGCAAGCGUUUGUUCGGAAUUACUGGGCGUAAAGGGCUCGUAGGCGGCCAACUAAGUCGGAUGUGAAAUCCCCAGGCUCAACUUGGGAACUGCAUCCGAUACUGGAUGGCUUGAAUUCGGGAGAGGGAUGCAGAAUUCCAGGUGUAGCGGUGAAAUGCGUAGAUAUCUGGAGGAAUACCGGUGGCGAAGGCGGCAUCCUGGACCGACAUUGACGCUGAGGAGCGAAAGCUAGGGGAGCAAACGGG